rnacentral:rRNA from 1 species
GAUCCUGGCUCAGGAUGAACGCUAGCGGCAGGCUUAACACAUGCAAGUCGAGGGGCAGCGCGUUGUAGCAAUACGAUGGCGGCGACCGGCGAAAGGGUGCGUAACGCGUGAGCAACCUGCCCGUAUCCGGGACAUAAGCGGUGGAAACGCCGUCUAAUUUCCCAUAACAACGAGGGCCGCAUGGUCCAUGUUUGAAAGAUGCGUCGGAUACGGAUGGGCUCGCGAGACAUUAGCUAGUCGGCGUGGUAACGGCACACCGAGGCGACGAUGUCUAGGGGUUCUGAGAGGAAGGUCCCCCACAUUGGAACUGAGACACGGUCCAAACUCCUACGGGAGGCAGCAGUGAGGAAUAUUGGUCAAUGGGCGCGAGCCUGAACCAGCCAAGUAGCGUGGGGGAUGACUGCCCUAUGGGUUGUAAACCCCUUUUGCGCGGGGAUAAACCGGCGGACGCGUCCGCCGCUGCAGGUACCGCGCGAAUAAGGACCGGCUAAUUCCGUGCC